rnacentral:rRNA from 1 species
GAUAAACGCUGGCGGCGUGCAUGAGACAUGCAAGUCGAACGAGUGACUCGGGCUUGCCUGAGUUGCUAGUGGCGAACGGCUGAGUAACGCGUAGGUGACCUACCCCGAAGUGGGGAAUAACUGCCCGAAAGGGUGGCUAAUACCGCAUGUGGUGAGCGUUCAUUCGCCUCAUCAAAGCCGCAAGGCGCUUCGGGAGGGGCCUGCGUCCGAUUAGCUCGUUGGUGGGGUAACGGCUCACCAAGGCGACGAUCGGUAGGUGGUCUGAGAGGACGACCAGCCACACUGGGACUGAGACACGGCCCAGACUCCUACGGGAGGCAGCAGUGGGGAAUUUUGGACAAUGGGCGCAAGCCUGAUCCAGCAAUGCCGCGUGCAGGAAGAAGGCCUUCGGGUUGUAAACUGCUUUUGUACGGAGCGAAAAGGCCCUCUCUAAUACAGGGGGCUCAUGACGGUACCGUAAGAAUAAGCACCGGCUAA